GUGCCAGCAGCCGCGGUAAAACGUAGGAGGCGAGCGUUAUCCGGAUUUACUGGGCGUAAAGCGCACGCAGGCGGCUCGGCAAGUCGGACGUGAAAGCUCCUGGCUUAACUGGGAGAGGCCGUUCGAUACUGUCGGGCUUGAGGUUGGGAGAGGGGUGCGGAAUUCCCGGUGUAGUGGUGGAAUGCGUAGAUAUCGGGAGGAACACCAGUGGCGAAGGCGGCACCCUGGCCCACACCUGACGCUGAGGUGCGAAAGCGUGGGUAGCAAACAGGAUUAGAUACCCCCGUAGUCC
rnacentral:rRNA from 1 species